rnacentral:rRNA from 1 species
CAGCAGCCGCGGGAAUACGUAGGGUGCGAGCGUUAAUCGGAAUUACUGGGCGUAAAGCGUGCGCAGGCGGUUGUGUAAGACAGGUGUGAAAUCCCCGGGCUUAACCUGGGAACUGCGCUUGUGACUGCACAGCUAGAGUAUGGCAGAGGGGGGUGGAAUCCCACGUGUAGCAGUGAAAUGCGUAGAGAUGUGGAGGAACACCGAUGGCGAAGGCAGCCCCCUGGGCCAAUACUGACGCUCAUGCACGAAAGCGUGGGGAGCAAACAGGAUUAGAUACCCCUGUAGUCCCUGUCUCUUAUAC